CCGCCAGAGAACUACAAGUGAAAAACUUGAAACUCAAAGGACUUGACGGUGUCCCAUAUCGACCUAGAGGAGCCUGUCCUAUAAUCGAUACUCCACGUUCUACCUAACCCUAACUAGCACAUCAUCAGCCUAUAUACCGCCGUCGACAGCCUACCCUAUGAAGGCCUAACAGUAGACACAAUAACCCAACCGCUAGCACGUCAGGUCAAGGUGUAGCAAAUGCUAGGGAAGAGAUUGGCUACAUUUUUUAUAAUAAAAAACACGAAAAGUACUAUGAAACCGUACAUGAAGGUGAAUUUAGUAGUAAAAUAGAUAAGAGUGUCUAUUUUAACAACGCUCUGGGACGCGUACACACCG
rnacentral:rRNA from 1 species